rnacentral:tRNA from 1 species
GAGGGUGUAGCUCAGUGGUAGAGCCGUACUUAGCAUGCAUGAGGUCCUGGUUUCAAUCCCCAGCACCUCUG